UACAGAGGUCUCGAGCGUUGUUCGGAUUUAUUGGGCGUAAAGGGUGCGUAGGCGGUGUGGCAAGUCAAGUGUGAAAUCUCGGAGCUCAACUUCGAAACUGCACUUGAUACUACUAUGCUAGAGGGUUGUAGAGGAGACCGGAAUUCACGGUGUAGCAGUGAAAUGCGUAGAUAUCGUGAGGAAGACCAGUUGCGAAAGCGGGUCUCUGGGCAAUUCCUGACGCUGAGGCACGAAGACUAGGGGAGCAAACGGG
rnacentral:rRNA from 1 species